GGGGACGACAAGUUUUGACAAGGGGGGUCCGAUGGCAAUUCAGUGAUGGUAAUUCAAUCCUAUGCAAGGAGGACCUAUGGAUCCCUUCAUCCUUUCCCAAUCCGGCCAUGGUCAAGGAUGAUGCAAAUAUUUCAAUCAAUUGGGCAUCCCAGUUGCUGAAUCACAACACUAACACUUGGGAUAUUAGUAAGCUUAUAAGGGUAUACCAAGAGGAGGAAAUCAAAAAUAUCUUGGCUUUUCCUAUCAGCCUUUUUCGGAAGGAAGAUAAGAUUGUCUGGCACUUCACAAAUAAUGGGGUCUACUCUGUAAAAUCUGGCUAUCAGUUGGCAUAUCAACUCCUUAAAGAUUCUGGAGCAACAGGGCCGGGGCCAGCGCCC
rnacentral:misc_RNA from 1 species